AGGCUUUAAUUGUUCCUGUAUCCAAAUAUAUCUAAUUGCAACUUUUUUCCAUGUUGGAACAACGUGGGUUUAGCUCUUUUGCUGUAAAAUUUUAUUAAGUAAUACUCCGGGAGAAAAGAUAUCAUUGUACUCCGUAAUAUUUUUUAUUAUACAAGUAAUUAUAAAAGUAAUAUGUCAAGAAUCUUGUGAUUUAGUGACACCGGAAUUUAGGAAUUAGGGUUUGAUUUCGGAGAGGGAGCUUAAGAAACGGUUACCAAAUCCAAGAAAGGCAGCAUGCGCACAAAUUAUUCAAUCCUGACACGGGGAAGUAGUGACAAUAAAUAACAAUACCGGCUCGAUCAAGUCUAGUAAUUGGAAUGAGUACAAUCUAAAUCUCUUAACGAGGAUCCAUUGGAAGGCAAGUCUGGUGCCAGCAGCCGCGGUAAUUCCAGCUCCAAUAGCGU
rnacentral:ncRNA from 1 species